rnacentral:lncRNA from 1 species
CAGAGGACAGAGCAGUCUAAUCAUCCUUCACCAAUCUCAAACUUGAGUCUCAGAGCCCAUCCCUGGUCAACCCAGGAUCACAUGCUGUUCUGGCCCUACCUGUGUCUGUGGGCAGCUCUUUACUCUCUCUGAGUUGGUUUCCUUGCGUCCUGCCUUCAGGGUCUGAUUCCUCCAGGAAGUGUCCAGCAUCCAGGACAGAUAAAAAAAAGAAAGGAGUGUCACAGAGAGCCCACCCCACACCUGGACUCUGGCAUGGUAGCCAUACUCCAGGUAAUCAGACUCCAACCUGGAGUGGCCAACAGGUGACCACUGUGGCCCACCUCCCUCCCAGAGCCUGGGGGAACCUCACAGCACCAGAGCUCGGGGCUGGAAACCAGCUGGAAAGGAGCCCACUUAGAGGGGCUGAGAGCUUCAGGAAGGGAAAAGGGGAGGGAGACAGUGAGUGAGGAGGAGAAAGGGAAUAAAGAGGAAGAGAAGGAGAGAUCAAAGGAAGACAGACAAAUGGGUAGGGCAGGGAGACAGGGCUAUUGGUGGGUGUUGGUUGUGCAGCAGGGGAACCCGGGUGUGAGUCCUAGCACUCACACAACAGCCUGCCAUGUGCCUGGAAACCUGGUUGUGUGUGUGUGUGUGGGGUUAGACAGUGGAUUACCAGGACUUGCUGGCUGGCCAGUCUCACCAUGUCAGCAAGUUGCAAGUUCAACAAAAGACCUUGUCUCAAAGAUAAAGGUGGAGAACCUGGCAGUGAUGGUACACAACUUUAUUCCCAGCACUUGGGAGGCAGAGGCAGGAGGAUCUCUGAGUUCAAGGCCAGUUUGGACUACAGAGUGAAUUCCAGGCGACUCAGGCUAUACAGAGAAACCUCUUUCAAAAAACCAACAAACCAAAAACAAAAGAAACAAAAAACCCAAAACAACAACAAAAAAACAAAAAACAAAAAAACCUCACACCAAUAAAUAAGCAAAAUAAAAUUAAGGUUGAGAAUCACAGAGGAGACACCAGAUGUUGAUGUCUUAGCUCCACACACAGGUACUCACAGGUGAGUACACCAUAAACAGACACACGCACACAUACAAACAACAAAAAUUAAAUAGGUGAUACCCAAUAUUGAUUUCUGUCUUACACAAGACACACACACACACUGGAGAUGACAGGAAGAGUGCAAGAAAGAGGAGGGAAAACUAGGAGGACCACAGGAGCAUGAGUGACUGGGUAGAGCACCAUGAGGAAUGCCAGACAGAGGCGGGGAGCCAGAAAGGAGAAGGGAGAAGUGAUCAGCAGCGUGGAACAGAAUAGGUAGGUGAGUAGGAGAGACUGAAAAUCAAAGACAAGAAAGGCAGGGAAAUGGUCAAGGAAGAUAAACAGUAGAGAUGCCAAGGGAGAGGGGUAACAUAAUUUGAAUGAGGGAGGAAUGACCAUCGGGAUGGGGUGGUGAUGUUACCGUUGGGAGAGAGAUGGGUUGUAGAGAAAUGGAGGAAGAAAGAGAGUGGUUGUGACAGGGAACAGAACAAAGGCAGAUUCCAGGAAGACAGGACAGAAACGGGGUAGAGAGCCCCAGAAAGGAGGGAUGGGGUGCCUAGGGAGGGAAGGAGGUGGGAGUAGAGAAAAGAGCAGGAAGACAUGGCGGGUAGAGAAGGUGAGGGAGGGGGGCUGGGUGUACUGAACGCUCUUGAUCCAGACAGGGCUGUGUGGAGGGACCCAGGAGGACAUCAAGCCCUGGGUAUACUGCCCCACAACUUCUGAGAACCCAGCACAGGUGACAGGGAAGUCCAGAGGGAAUGGGGGGAGGUCGAAGACAGGAGACAAGGAAGAGGCAUCAGGGCAAGGCCUGAGGGAGCUAUGAAACGGGAAAUGUUAUGAUGGAGAAAUGAGCAGGGCGGUGGUGGUGCUCGCCUGGAAUCUCAGCACUCAGGAGGCAGAGGCCAGCUUGGCCUACAGAGUGAGUUCCAGGACAGCUGGAGAUGUUACACAGAGAAUCCCUGUCUCAAAAAUACAAAAGAAAAGAGAGAGAGAGAAACUAGAGUGCGUGUAAAGUACAGAGCAGAGGAAGAUAAUUUUAAAAAGUGUGAAGGUGCCAUAGGAAAAGGGGGAGGAAGAGGAGGAAAGAGAUGGGAAGAGAAAUGAGGCAGGGGAUUAGGAGGGGAUGGAGCAGGAGUAGACUGAGUUGGAGAGAGGGUAAGGAGGAAGAGAGAAGGGAGACAAAGGGGAAGAGGAGGAGGUUGUGGAAAGGGGGCACAGGAGGAAGGGACUCGGAUCAAGAGCGGGCGCGGAGGAGGAGAGGUGAGGACAUGAAGGAGGCAGAGGAUGCCCACGAAGAACAAGAGUAAGGAGAAAAGCGGAGGAAGAGAGAACAGAUGGGGGAGAAGGAGAGAAUAUGGCAGGAAGAGGGGAGGGAAGAAAAGGAGAUGGAAGAGGAAAACAGGAGUUUGUAUGGAUAAGAGAAAAGUCAAUGGAGAAAUGGGGGACGGGAAGAAGCGAGUGGAAGAGGUCAGUCCACAAGAAAGCUAAUAGGACACAGGAGACAUUAGAAACAAGAGCAGGGAGGAAAAGCAGAGGGACAGAAGAAAAGAGGAAAGAGGCACAGAAUGAAGAGGGGGAUGCAGUGUGAGCAGAGGAGGAAGGAACAAGUAGGAGGAGGACCACACUCCAGCCACAAGGGAGACAGAGGAGGAAAAGUAGGAGGGAGGACCACACUCCAGCCCCAAGGGAGACAGAGGAGGAAAAGUAGGAGGGAGGACCACACUCCAGCCCCAAGGGAGACAGAGGAGGAAAAGUAGGAGGGAGGACCACACUCCAGCCCCAAGGGAGACAGAGGAGGAAAAGGAGACAGGAGACGGAGGAAGAGGACAGUGUGGAUGAAGGCUAGGAAUGAGGAGCAGGAGAAGGAGAAGGGAAGUGCGGGGGAUACGGCUAAGCAGGAGAAGGUUGGGUGGGAGCAAGGAAAAGAAAGAGAAGGAGCCAGAGGAAAUGGAGGGGGGUGAGGCAGGAAAGGAGAUGGAGGAGAUAGAAAGGGGAGGCAAGAGGAGAAAGGGAUAGAGAAGAUAAAGGAGGGGAAGGAAGAAGAGAAGAUACAGGACAUGGAGGAGAAAACAGAAGACGCUCUAGAGAAGGAGACAGAGGAAGAAGAUGGGAAAGGGGAAGACGGGAGGGGGGCAGAGGAGACAGGGGAGGGAAAGAAGGAAGAGAGCGGGAUGGAUGAGAUUGAGGAGAGAAGGAAGGCGGACAAAGGGAAGUUGGUGAUAGAGGAAGACAGCAGAGGACGUUGACGGUAAAUGAAAAGGAAUAGAUGAGAUAAAAGAGGAAGCAAGAAGAGAAGAGGAGAGAAUAGCAGAGGAGGGGACGGGGACGAAGGGAAAGGAGGGGAUAGAAGAGAUGGAGGAGGUAAAGAGGGUAGACAGAAGGUAGAGGAGGGAGACAAAGGGGGAUAGCUGAGAUAAAGGAGAUGGAGAAGAAAGGGAUAGAGGCGAUAAAGAAGGAGGAGCUGGAGAGGGGCUGGAAGGGUUAGAGGCGUGGUAUAGUAGGUGGAGGGAUAGAGGAGACGGUGGAGGGGAGGAGGAAGAAGAGGGCUACAACAGAUGGAGGAGGCUGAGGGGAUGGAGGUGGGGAAGUAAGGGAAGGAAGUGACAAGAUGGAGGAGGGGAGGAGAAGGGGAGGGGUGGGGAGAUGUAGUAGGAAUAAUUAGGAUAAACAGAAGCAUGAACAGUAAGAGAUGUCAGAGAGAGGGAGGAGCAGCAGGAGCUAUUGGAUGAGAUACUGUAAAGGGGACGGAAGGACGAGGGAGGAAAAAGACGAGGAAAGGGGAAAGAGAAGGUUGAGGAUGUGGGGCAGACAUAGGGAUACACGUAGAGGGUUAAAAGACAAAUAAGGUCAGAAGAGGGGAGUGAAGAGAAAGCGGGAUGAAGAUGGAUGGUGUUAGGGCAGCAGAGGAGAGGAGCAGAAAGGAGGAGGAAUUGAGGGGAGAGAGAAAAAGAAGAGCUGAAUUAAGGAUAAAAAGGAAGAGGAAAAGGAAGAAUAAAAGAAAACUGGGCAUCAGGAGAGGACUAGAUGAAGGAAGAAAAGGAGGGGAGGGGACUAUUUAGGGGUGAAACAGGGGUUGCACAGGAGUAGAGACAGAGGGGAGAAUGUUGAAGAGAGGACAGGGAGCAGUGAGGCAGGAGCACAGGACAAUAUAAAGCAGGAGGGGAAGACGGGGAGGGAGCGGCAGAGGCAGGGCAGGAAUAAGGAAGAGGGGGAAGAAAACUAGAGAAUAGGAAGGAUGGGAAAGUAAUAAAUGUAGAAGGAAGAACAAGAGAAACAGGAUGGGAAAGAAAAAGCAGAGCCUGCAGGAGAUGCUGCGAGGAGGAAGAGCGAGAAAUAGAAGUGGAGGGGUGAGGGGGGCUGUCGAGAAGGAAGAUUCGGAACAGGAAUGAGCGAGAAAGGAGGUGGGGUUAGAGGGGAAGGGGAAGAGGAAAUGACUUAGAAGUGGAGGAGAGUAACUAGGAGUAGAAAGAGGGGUGCAAUAAGAAAUUAGAGGGAGCUUAAUGGAGAUUAAAAGAAGACAGAGGAAGAGCGGGAGAGAAAGCAGGUGUGGCGAGAGGGUGGGUGGGAAAGUGGAGGGGACACAAGGUAGGAGGAGCAGGAAGGUGAAAUAGGUCACAGGGAGGAAACAGACAGGAAAGAGCUGAGAAAGUGUCAUUUCCUAAAAUACAUUUAAGAAAAUGUCAAGAAGACGGUGAGGAAGAAAAGGGGGAAACUGGAGGGGUGGAGGAAAAGAAGAGUGAGGAAGGGGUGAGAGUGGGGAGGAGAGCAACAGAGGGGGAGGAAGAGGAGGGGGAACCAUGGGAUGUAACGGGCAAAGCAGGAAGAGGAGAAAGGGAAAGGAAGGAAGAGCAGGGAGGAGAGAGGAAAGCGGGGAGCAGUAGGGCAGGAGGAAGGGCUAGGAGGCAGAGAGUGGACGAGGUGAGAAUGGGGGGUGAUGGAGGAAGGAACAGGGUAGAAGAGGGAGGGUGGGCAGUGACGAGGAAGAGGAGGAGAGUCCAUGGGAGGAGAAAGAGGAAGCUGCAGAAGUGAGGGGAGGAGGGCGGGUGGUGAAGUUAAAGCAGGGUGGAAGGAAAAGGGUGAAAGAGGAAGCAAAGGAGAGAAGUAGGAAGGGAGGCUGAAGAAAGAUGAAGGAGCAGGGGAGGAAGGGGAGGAGCAGGGGAGGAAGGUGAAAUGGAAAAGAAUGGCGAUGAGGAGACGGAAGGUGGAGGUGGAGGGCAGGCGACAGAGAAGCUGCAGAAGGGGGAGCGGGUGACAUGUAGACGGAUGAGGAGGAAAAGAGGAGUAGAAAAUAGAGGAGAUGGAAGAGAAAAUAAGAGGAAAGGAAGAGGGAGUGGGAGCAGACAGGAGGAAGGGAGAUGGGGAGGAGGAGGAGGAGGAGGGAGAGACAAUGGGGGGAUUGGAGGAGAUGCGAGAGGAACAUACGGAAGAUUAGGGUACGCAGGAGAGGAAAUGGAGAGGGAAGAGACAGAAGAGGAGGAGAUGAAGGGGUAGGAGGAAGAGGAGGAAAUGGGGAUAAUAGUAAGAGAGUUGAGGAGGAAGAGAAAAAUAAGCAGCAGAAAGAAACAGGAGCAGCUGGGCGUUGGUGGUGCACGCCUUUAAUCCCAGCACUCGGGAGGCAGAGGCAGAGGCAGAGGCAGGCAGAUCUCUGUGAGUUCGAGGCCAGCCUGGUCUCCAGAGCCAGUGCCAGGACAGGCUCCAGAGCUACACAGAGAAACCCUGUCUCGGACCCCCCCCCAAAAAAAAAAGAAAGAAAGAAACAGGAGUAGAAAAAAGAAGGAGAUGAAGGAGGAAGAGAAGAUGAGGCAAGGGAAAUUUGCAAGUCAUGAGUGAGGUGACGAUAAGGAAGGAAAGGAAGAGGAUGAGGGGGAGGAUGGGAGAGAGGAGGGGAGGGGAAGCCAGAGAGAAGAAAGGAGGACGAGGAGACAGGCCAGGGAGCAGGCAGGGGGCAGGGUGCAGUGUAGAAUAUAACGAAGAGAAGCAUAUAGAAGAGACAGGAGGCGGUGGAGAAGGUGGUGAGGAGAUGGGAGAGAGGAGGCUGAGGAGGAGGUGAAGGAGGAAACGACGGGGAUAUUGGAGAGUGGGAUGAUAAGGGGGUGGGAGAGCGAAGGCGUGAAGGAGGAUAUUGAAAAAGACGGAAAUGAAAACAGAGGGGGAUGGAGGGGCAGGAGUGUGGAGAUCAUGGGGUUAGAUAAGAGGGCAGGGGUAGAGAGGGGGUGGGUGAAGAAGGGAAGACAGGAUAAAGGUGAAGGAAGUGGUGAGGGAGGCAGACACAGAGAUGUAGCUGCGGAGCCGUAGGAGACAAAGUUAAAAGAGAUUAGAGAAGAGAAGGAAAUCGAGGAAAGAUAAAGGAUACAGUAGGAAGAAGACAGGAGAGGAAGAGGUGGAGAAGGAGGGGGAGGGAGAUGGGGGAGGAGUAGAUGGGGAGAGGUUGGAGAAAGAAAAGAUGGAGCAGGAAGCAAGAGGAAGAGGAGGAGGCAAUGUAGGAGGAAGGCAAGGAGGAAAUUGAGAAAGACAGGAGGAAAGAAAUGGAGGAGAAGGAAGCAGA